rnacentral:rRNA from 1 species
UACGAGGGGGCAAGCGUUGUUCGGAAUUAUUGGGCGUAAAGGGCGCGUAGGCGGUGCGGUAAGUCACCUGUGAAACCUCUAGGCUCAACCUAGAGCCUGCAGGCGAAACUGCCGUGCUUGAGGGUGGGAGAGGUGCGUGGAAUUCCCGGUGUAGCGGUGAAAUGCGCAGAUAUCAGGAAGAACACCCGUGGCGAAGGCGGCUCUCUGGGACGGUACUGACGCUGAGACGCGAAAGCGUGGGGAGCGAACAGG